UGGGCAUUCCUGUCGUCGCCUGGGCUUCCUGUCCGCAGCCUGGGAUUCCUGUUCGGCGCCGAGCAUGGGCUUUAAUGUCAGGAGAAUAGGAUUAAUGUUAGGAGAAUGGGAUUAAUGUUAGGAGAAUGGGAUUAAUGUCAGUAGAAUGGGAUUAAUGUCAGAAGAAUGGGAUUAAUUUAGGAGAAUGGAUUAAUUUUAGGAGAAUGGGAAUUAAGUUAGGCAGAAUGGGAUUAAUGUUAGUAGAA
rnacentral:lncRNA from 1 species